rnacentral:lncRNA from 1 species
GGCGGGGGUGAUAGCGGGGAAUCUCCCUGCCCCUACCUCACGGAGGUCGUUGAGGAAGAGGAUGGGGCUGUACCCAGGUGGUGGGGGCCCAAGGCGGACAUCCGAGAACUGGGCGCAACCUUGUUCCACGCGCCGGCAGUCCUCAGGUCCGUGGGGCUCGCAUCCCCAGGAAGAGGAGGAAGGGGCUUCUCCUGAAAAGCGAAGGACAGAAAGACUCUUUGAAGCAGCACGAAGCAAAGAUCGGAGAGAACCCUUCCCGUGGCCUUGCCAAAGUGCAGCUUCUGCGGCUGAGCUGGGACCACAGGCGGCCACGUGGGCCUGGGGCACUGAAGCCCUGCUGCCCAGACUGCUGGCCGUGUGGCCAUCUCCAGCUUCUGCUGUCCUCGCGCUAUUUAUGUCCUGGGCAAUGACGGGGCCGCGUGGCUGAUGGCAUAAUUUCUAUUUCUGAGCGCACGGACGGCUUCCAGGGGGCUUGAGUGGAGCUGAUUGCCUCCGGACGGUAACGACCCCGGCUCUGUACCCUAGACCCUGUCCAGGUGGCCGCGCAAGAGUGCGUCCCGGAUGUGCCUUGGACAGCAACAUGCCGGUUCCCGGGGUGGGGGUGGCGGGGGGACGGGCACACCCAGCCUGGAGCUCGUCACCUCCCUCAGCUCAGGGCCAAGCAGCGGCAGGCAGAUCCUCCCAGAAAUCUCCGGGCCUCUCCGAGCAGAGGUUCUGCCAUGACAGCCACUGGGUGAGGACAAGCCAGGCCCGGAGAGCCAAGGGCGCUGCUGUGCUGACCUCUAUGCUCUGCCUGGUGGCACAAAUGUCAGCGAACUCAGCAGGUCCCAUGGGCAGGGCGGCACGGGGACAGCCAGCAGCGGUUCAGUAAGACCACGUCUUCUAGCCACAGGCUUGACGUCUGCUGUCGCCCAGUGCAGGUUUCCCUCCGUGCCAUCCAUUGUCCGAGGACGAGAGACCCCUUCUUGUUCAAACUGAGAGGAACCCAAGGCCAACGACCUUAAACUAAAGCAGCCAUGUGUCUGAGUGCAGGGCAGGGGUCCUCUAGAUUUGGCCUGCUCGGGCCCAGGGGGCCUCUGGGGCCUCCUGGACUCAGGGCGCCACGGUCCCUUCCCUGCAUAUGAGGGCCCCUUCUGCACGUAGUACAGUGACCGCACAGGGCUCGCACACCUGACCGCCCACCGCCGUCCCCACUUCUCAGAUGUGACGUCCAGACCUGCCGCCACCUUCUUAGGGAUGGGCACCCCUGGUGGUCGAGGCACAGCCCAGCCUGGCCAAGCCCGGUCCCCGCAUGUGGGCCCCUCCUCCUGGACACGGCCCUGUGGCCUCCACGUGGUAGCUCAGCUUCUAGCUGUUCUGCUUGUGAGCUGUGCCGACCGGCCAGGCCUGCCGUCCCUGUCACCUGCCCGCGCGGGCUGUGGCCCAGG